CUUGCGUCGGAUUUGAUUAUCAAAUAUGGAGCUGUACAAUAUGGUGCACUCAUUCCAAGCUUCCAUGUGAAGAAGCCACCAUUGGCGUUCAUCCUCCGCUUCUGAGUCCAGAGUUACCAUAUCUGUGUAUGAUGCGCUGCCCUUGAGAUUAAGUUUGUAAUCGUUGUAGGGCUUGAUAGCCAAGAAGACCUGGAAAAUGGCCUGUA